rnacentral:lncRNA from 1 species
CAUAGGUUUAUAUAUAAUGCAUCAAAACAAUUUUAAGAAUCAAGAACAAAGUGAAGGUUAGUCUUAUACCUCUUGAUCUAGACUUAAGACCAAGGAUGGACCACCUCCAAGGCCUUUGCUCCUUGAAAUCCUUGAGCCUAGCUUCCCUCGCCUCCUCCACUUUGUUACAAUGAGUGCUCCUAGGUUCUCUUCAAGUUCCCAAAGUAGGAAACCUCUAAAGAUCCUCACCCACUAGUGUAGUGAGAAGGAUGAAGGAAUAACCAAAAGGGUGUAAGAGAUGUUAGUAAAAACCCCCCUUUGGUGGCCGGCCUUUGUGGUUCAAGAUGGCUAUUUUCUUUUGCCUCUUUUGUUGUUCAAAACUCACA